ensembl:miRNA ocu-mir-802 ocu-mir-802
UCAGUAACAAAGAUUCAGCCUUGGGUCUGUCACGCAACAAGGAGAAUCUUUGUCACUUAGU